rnacentral:rRNA from 1 species
GAUGAACGCUAGCGGGAGGCCUAACACAUGCAAGCCGAGCGGUAGAGUUUCUUCGGAAACUUGAGAGCGGCGCACGGGUGCGUAACACGUGUGCAACCUACCUUUAUCUGGGGGAUAGCCUUUCGAAAGGAAGAUUAAUACCCCAUAAUAUAAUGAUUGGCAUCAAUUAUUAUUGAAAACUCCGGUGGAUAGAGAUGGGCACGCGCAAGAUUAGAUAGUUGGUGAGGUAACGGCUCACCAAGUCAAUGAUCUUUAGGGGUCCUGAGAGGGAGAUCCCCCACACUGGUACUGAGACACGGACCAGACUCCUACGGGAGGCAGCAGUGAGGAAUAUUGGACAAUGGGUGAGAGCCUGAUCCAGCCAUCCCGCGUGAAGGAUGACGGUCCUAUGGAUUGUAAUCUUCUUUUGUACAGGGAUAAACCUACCCUCGUGAGGGUAGCUGAAGGUACUGUACGAAUAAGCACCGGCUAACUCCGUG